ACCCUUUUGUAGUUCAUAAGUAUGAUGACCUGGUGUUCAUGCUUUUGCGUGAGACGUGCCUCCCACAAACCUUGCUACGACGACAUCGGCACAUUACCCAUCUGACG
ensembl:snoRNA